UUUUUUAUCACUACUUCUGUAUGAUAGGGAAAGACAUACAUAUCAUACGUGGAUUAGUAUAAUUUAGGAUAUUACUCUACCCUUAUAAUGAUACCAUCCUUCUCUUAAGUUCCUUUUCCACUCUUAUGGAAUAGAAUACUGGUAUUUUACUGGAAUCCAUACAUAAAUCGUAUUUGUUUAUUGUUAGUUAGACAGUGAAUUUAAUAUAAUUAGAAUUCGUACUUUAAAAAUCCGCUCUCAUCUUUAGACCCCAAAAGCGGAUUUUGAUAGUAACCUAACAAAAAAACCAAGCAAGGCAAGCGCCCUUUUUACUAAAUUAAAGUUUUCUUUUUUUUUGUUAAGCCCUCUUUUCUCCAUCU
rnacentral:lncRNA from 1 species